rnacentral:lncRNA from 1 species
UGCUCGCUACGCCCUUGUGCCUUUAGUUGAAGUAUAGGUUGUCGAUUCAAUCUAUCUUGAUGGGAUUUUUCUAGUAGGUAGCGAGAAGACUAGUAGUAUCGACAAGAGGCUACAUCAAUAGCUGAAAGGCUACGCCCUUGUGCCUUUAGUUGAAGUAUAGGUCGUCGAUUCAAUCUAUCUUGAUGGGAUUUUUCUAGUAGGUAGCGAGAAGACUAGUAGUAUCGACAAGGGGCUACAUCAAUAGCUGAAACUUUUUUUCGGGUAGGGUAGGCUUGGAGUCAGAAGUCCUAUUCUUCCCAACCAAAUAAGCACUUUUGCAAAGUUCACCUUCCCGCGGUCAAAACAAGACUUACGGAUAACAAUCAGACCUUA